GCGAAUUUUUGGCGAUCCCAUGUAGUUGCGAUGGAAAGUAAGAAGCUAAGCAAAUAGAACCUGUGCACUAGAUGGCGUGAAGUCAGAGAGGGAUGCAGGAGCAUCUACCACUUGCCAGUAAACAGCAAAUGAGCAACGUUUGCUAGAUGGCUGCAGGCUCUUGAUAUGCCCUAUAGCAACAUGAAGAUUUCGGCCUACAACAACAAUCCGGUUGUCACAGCAAUCUACAGAGAAAGGUUUACAUAUCUGCUCUGGCAGUGGAAGUCCUUCAACAGUGUCCCAGGAAUCAUUUUCAGGUUCAUAAACCUUAAGUUUAGUGCGCUCGUGUUCGGAAACUACAAACAAUCGCCCAUAUAGCACAACACUAGAACCAGUCCAACCUUCUCGAAGUCCAGAAGCCAUGUUCUCCCAAUUACCCGUUUGAGGGUCAUAAAUCUGGCCCCUAGGCACAACAUAAAAUGGCCAAAACCAGCCUUCAGUUACUAGAAGCUUCCCAUUAAGAACUGCAGAGUCAUAUGAGGCCAUAUUAGUUCCCAUAUUUGCAACAGGGCACCAAAUCCCUUCAUCAGGAUCCAAGACUUCCGCAGAGUCCAGCUCAAAAAGAUGUGUGCUAUUUCCUCCAGCAACAUAAAUCAUCCCAUCAAUUACUCCACUGGCAAAAAAGGACCUAGCUGUGAUCAUCUUCUUCAUAACAGUCCAACGGUUUCUGCGAACUUCAUACUUAACCACCAAAUUAAGGGGACAAUCAACAUCAGAGGCUACCCCACCACAAACAUAG
rnacentral:misc_RNA from 1 species